rnacentral:rRNA from 1 species
GACGAACGCUGGCGGCGUGCUUAACACAUGCAAGUCGAACGGAAAGGCCCUGCUUUUGUGGGGUGCUCGAGUGGCGAACGGGUGAGUAACACGUGAGUAACCUGCCCUUGACUUUGGGAUAACUUCAGGAAACUGGGGCUAAUACCGGAUAGGAGCUCCUGCUGCAUGGUGGGGGUUGGAAAGUUUCGGCGGUUGGGGAUGGACGCGGGGCUUAUCAGCUUGUUGGGGGGGUAGUGGCUUACCAAGGCUGCGACGGGUAGCCGGCCUGAGAGGGUGAUAGGUCACACUGGAACUGAGAAACGGUCGCGACUACGAAGGGAGGCAGCAGUGGGGAAUGUUGGACAAUGGGGGGAAGCAGGAUACAGCCAUGCCGAGUGUGUGAAGAAGGUCUUAGGAUUGUAAAGAACUUUAAGGGGGGAGGAAGAGGAGUUAGCUAAUAGUUGAGUGUUAUGACGGUACCGAAAGAAGAAGCACCGGCUAACUUCGUG